rnacentral:rRNA from 1 species
CUUGCUAUGAGCUGUUUUAGCGGCGGACGGGUGAGUAACGCGUGAGCAACCUUUCCCAGACAGGGGGAUAACAGUUGGAAACAGCUGCUAAUACCGCAUAAGCUCACAGAGCCACAUGGCUCAGAGAGAAAAACUCCGGUGGUGUGAGAUGGACCCGCGUCUGAUUAGCUAGUUGGCAGGGUAACGGCCUACCAAGGCGACGAUCAGUAGCCGACCUGAGAGGGUGACCGGCCACAUUGGGACUGAGACACGGCCCAAACUCC